CCUCCUUACCUAAAAGUUGCGAGGUGCACUUGAUGCAGUGCCUACACAGAUAGUCUUGUCAUAGAGAGAAGAACGUGAAAAGUUAGCCUUAAUAAAUGAAGAUUUUAGAAGUCCUUAUUUAUUAGGGUUUUUUACUCUAAACCUGUUCUUUAACAAUUUGGAAAGCUGAUAUUAAGUAAUCAAAACUGAAAGAGUAUUGAUUAGAAAGACAUCACGUAAGUGAUGAGAGAUUUAAUCAAGUAGCUACUCUAUCUGACAAAGAAGAAUUAUUUGCCACCGCAAAUGAUUCGGAUGAUUAGAAUUAUCAUGCAUACAACAGUAAGCGCAUUGUGAUGAUGUGGUUUACGUCGAACACCUGAUUAAAAAGGCGGGUGGUUGCGAGUUAUUGUUUCGAAGUGGAAAGUCGUGUCCCACUAAAA
rnacentral:misc_RNA from 1 species